GACGAACGCUGGCGGCGUGCCUAAUACAUGCAAGUAGAACGCAGUUGGGAACGGGUGAGUAUCGUGUAGGUAACUGCCUCCAUGCGGGGGAUAAAUAUUGGAAACGAUAGCUAAUAACCCAUUUUGUGACAUGGAUCGGCGUUGGAAUAGCGUGUUGGUGAGGUAAAGGCUCACCAAGGCGCCGAUACAUCGCCGACCUGGGACGGUGGUCGGGCCAACUGGGACCGAGACACGGCCCAGACCCCUUCGGGAGGCAGCAGUAGGGAAAUUUCGGCAAUGGGGGGAAGUCUGACCGAGCAACGCCGGGGGAGUGAAGAAGGGUUUCGGAGCGGAAAGCUCUGUUGUUAGGGAAGCGGUAACUAACCAGAAAGGGACGGCUAACUACGUGCCAGCAGCCGCGGUAAUUC
rnacentral:rRNA from 1 species